rnacentral:rRNA from 1 species
GAUGAACGCUGACAGAAUGCUUAACACAUGCAAGUCCACUUGAACUUCGGUUUGGGUGGCGGACGGGUGAGUAACGCGUAAAGAACUUGCCUCACAGCUAGGGACAACAUUUGGAAACGAAUGCUAAUACCUGAUAUUAUGAUUUUAGGGCAUCCUAGAAUUAUGAAAGCUAUAUGCGCUGUGAGAGAGCUUUGCGUCCCAUUAGCUAGUUGGAGAGGUAACGGCUCACCAAGGCGAUGAUGGGUAGCCGGCCUGAGAGGGUGAACGGUCACAAGGGGACUGAGACACGGCCCUUACUCCUACGGGAGGCAGCAGUGGGGAAUAUUGGACAAUGGACCAAGAGUCUGAUCCAGCAAUUCUGUGUGCACGAUGAAGUUUUUCGGAAUGUAAAGUGCUUUCAGUUGGGAAGAAAAAAAUGACGGUACCAACAGAAGAAGUGACGGCUAAAUACGUG